GGCGAUGGAGCCCUCGUGCACGCCUUGGACGCACUCUUAGCCCGGCCCCACCAAACGCGCCCGCUCUGCGAGCAGGUUCCUCACCUUGAAGGGAGCCGAGUAAGGGGCGACCGCAAUGAGAAGCCCACGCACCACAAAAACUACAUUUGGGGCUUCCCUGGUGGCGCAGUGGAUAAGAAUUGCCUGCCAAUGCAGGGGACACAGGUUCCAUCCCUGGUCCGGGAAGAUCCCACAUGCGCGGAGCAACUAAGCCCAUGCGCCACAGCUACUGAGCCUGCGCUCUAGAGCCCGUGAGCCACAACUACUGAAGCCCGUGCACCUAGAGCCCGUGCUCCGCAACAAGAGAAGCCACCGCAAUAAGGAGCCCACGCACCGCAAUGAAGAGUAGCCCCCGCUCGCUGCAAAUAGAGAAAGCCCUCAGGCAGCAACAAAGACCCAACACAGCCAAUAAAUAAAUAAAUAAACAUUUUUAAAAACCUA